AUGCAGUCGUACGAGAACGUUUCCUUCGGGAAACGAGUAGAGUGGCGCACGGGUGAGUAACGCGUAGGUAAUCUACCCUUAUAUUUGGGAUAACAUUGGGAAACUGGUGCUAAUACCGGAUGGUCUUUUUCUAAUGCGAGUUAGAGAGAGUAAAGGUGGCCUCUUCCUGAAAGCUACCGUAUAGGGAUGAGCCUGCGUACCAUUAGCUAGUAGGUGGGGUAACGGCCCACCUAGGCAACGAUGGUUAGCGGGUCUGAGAGGAUGAUCCGCCACACUGGAACUGGAACACGGACCAGACUCCUACGGGAGGCAGCAGUGAGGAAUAUUGCGCAAUGGGGGCAACCCUGACGCAGCGACGCCGCGUGAGUGAGGAAGGUUUUCGGAUCGUAAAGCUCUGUCAGAAGGGAAGAAAUGCUAUAUGGUUAACACCCAUAUAGUUUGACGGUACCUUCAGAGGAAGCACCGGCUAACUCCGUGCCAGCAGCCGCGGUAAUACGGAGGGUGCGAGCGUUGUUCGGAAUUACUGGGCGUAAAGGGCGCGUAGGCGGCUUGAUAAGUCAGAUGUGAAAGUCCACGGCUCAACCGUGGAAGUGCAUUUGAAACUGUCUGGCUUGAGUAUUGGAGGGGAAAGUGGAAUUCCCGGUGUAGAGGUGAAAUUCGUAGAGAUCGGGAGGAACACCUGUGGCGAAAGCGACUUUCUGGACAAAUACUGACGCUGAGCGCGAAAGCGUGGGGAGCAAACAGAUUAGAUACCCUGGUAGUCCACGCCGUAACGAUGAGAACUAGAGGUAGGGGGUGUUGAUCCCUCCUGUCUCGCAGCAACGCAUUAAGUUCUCGCUGGGGAGUACGUCGCAGAUUAACUCAAGAUUGACGGGGCCGCACAAGCGUGAGUAUGUGUUAUCGACGCACGCGAGAUCUACU
rnacentral:rRNA from 1 species